GAGCUCCCUGGAAGCUCCGGGUGUUUGCCAUGGCAUGCCCAAUGACAAUAAAUCCUCAGAUGUGGACAGGGCUGGGAAGAGAAAAGAAACAUUUUUUUCUCCAUGCCCCUUGUUGAUAGAAUGAACGCCGUGGCUUUUUGGGAAGCAUCUGACAGAGGAUGAGGAGGCAGCAGAGUGGGAGGGUGUCCUCAAAUGCAAAGAGACGUCAAAGCUGCUGGUUUUAAAAGGAAGGAAAUGAUAAAAUCCUAGGUCUGCUCAAAAUCCUUCAUCUGGACUCCACCUGGGUGCUUAUUCCUCCUCACACAGAUCCAUGCAUGGUGAAUUGUAUAAACAACAAAAUCCUUCCUUGGGAGAGAUGGAAAUGUCAAAUUUGACAUGGCAUUAGCAAUCCCCUUAUCUGUGAUUACAUGGGAAAAAAGAAAUAAAUGGAUAUCUGAAUUUAUCCCAGCAGCUAGGUUGGUUCAUUAAUCUACAUCCUGAUGCAGGUACAUGUUUUACAACUGUCUAGAAAAGUGUCCUUGCUCAUAUUAACAAAUAAAUGAAAAAUUGUUGCUGAAAUAUAAAAGUACAUUAAGAAAAAUACUUUUUUUUUUGAUUGAAAGCAUUUAUCCGGAAAAAGUUACCUGAGAAUUCGAAUUCCAGAGAAAAUUGUGAUUUAAAUUCAGAAGACCAUCAAAUGAAUAAUUUUAACAGAUUCUCAGCUCUUCUUAAACAGAUGACUGUGUGUUUGCAACUGAAUGUUUGAUAAAUGAAAAGAGACGAAAUGUUCUACUUUUCAGCACAUUUUUCCCCACAGCUGGUGCACAGACUGAGACUCAGUGUAUGUUGCUUUAGCCGUGAUUUUUCAA